GAUGAAGAACGUAGCGAAAUGCGAUAAGUAAUGUGAAUUGCAGAAUUCAGUGAAUCAUCGAAUCUUUGAACGCACCUUGCGCCCUUUGGCCAUUCCGAAGUGCAUGCCUGUUUGAGUAUCAUGAACACCUCAACUCUCAUGGCUCGCCAUGAUGAGCUUGGAUUUGGGGGUCUUGCUGGCCUGUGGUCGGCUCCUCUCAAAUGGAUCAGCUUGCCAGUGUUUGGUGGCAUCACAGGUGUGAUAACUAUCUGCGCUUGUGGUUUUCCAUCAGAUAACCUUCAGUGAUGGAGGUUCGCUGGAGCUCAUAAACGUCUCCCCUAAGCGGGGACAGCCCUUUGAAUGUUUGAUCUCAAAUCAGGUAGGACUACCCGCUGAACUUAAGCAUAUCAAUAAGCGGAGGA
rnacentral:misc_RNA from 1 species